ACGAAGGGUGCAAGCGUUAAUCGGAAUUACUGGGCGUAAAGGGUGCGUAGGCGGUUCGUUAAGUCUGUCGUGAAAUCCCCGGGCUCAACCUGGGAAUGGCGAUGGAUACUGGCGAGCUAGAGUGUGUCAGAGGAUGGUGGAAUUCCCGGUGUAGCGGUGAAAUGCGUAGAGAUCGGGAGGAAUACCGGUGGCGAAGGCGGCAUCCUGGACCAACAUUGACGCUGAACGGCGAAAGCUAGGGGAGCAAACGGGA
rnacentral:rRNA from 1 species